rnacentral:rRNA from 1 species
AGAGUGGCGAACGGGUGAGUAACACGUGAGUAACCUGCCCUUCACUCUGGGAUAAGCGCUGGAAACGGUGUCUAAUACUGGAUAUGACCCUUACAGGCAUCUGUUGGGGGUGGAAAGAUUUAUCGGUGAAGGAUGGGCUCGCGGCCUAUCAGGUAGUUGGUGAGGUAACGGCUCACCAAGCCGACGACGGGUAGCCGGCCUGAGAGGGUGGCCGGCCACACUGGGACUGAGACACGGCCCAGACUCCUACGGGAGGCAGCAGUGGGGAAUAUUGCACAAUGGGCGAAAGCCUGAUGCAGCAACGCCGCGUGAGGGAUGACGGCCUUCGGGUUGUAAACCUCUUUUAGUAGGGAAGAAGCGUAAGUGACGGUACCUGCAGAAAAAGCACCGGCUAACUACGUGCCAGCAGCCGCGGUAAUACGUAGGGUGCAAGCGUUGUCCGGAAUUAUUGGGCGUAAAGAGCUCGUAGGCGGCUUGUCGCGUCUGCUGUGAAAACCCGGAGCUCAACUCCGGGCCUGCAGUGGGUACGGGCAGGCUAGAGUGCGGUAGGGGAGAUUGGAAUUCCUGGUGUAGCGGUGGAAUGCGCAGAUAUCAGGAGGAACACCGAUGGCGAAGGCAGAUCUCUGGGCCGCUACUGACGCUGAGGAGCGAAAGCAUGGGGAGCGAACAGGAUUAGAUACCCUGGUAGUCCAUGCCGUAAACGUUGGGAACUAGAUGUAGGGCCUGUUCCACGGGUUCUGUGUCGUAGCUAACGCAUUAAGUUCCCCGCCUGGGGAGUACGGCCGCAAGGCUAAAACU